CCCCCCCCCCCCAUCCUCCCUCGGCAACCACCCACCUGGUUGAUCUGUCCCCCUCCUUCUGUGUCCAGAGUCCUCACAGUUGUGAGAGAAACCUGCUGACGUUAAUGCCCCCAAACCUCCUUGGACCACUGGCCUGCAGAGUCUUUUGAAGAUGUGGUAUGAGUGACGGGAGGGAGGAGGACAGCAUGAAAUGUUCUUUUUGCUCUGAGACUGAGGCACUGGCUGUGAAGAUGGUGUUUUUUUUUCCUCCUUUUAUUUUGCCUCCUUUCAACUCUUGUCAUGCAGUUCUGUUUCAUUUCCUCUCUCCAUCCUGUCGUCCUCUCAGGACGGCCCAGUGUUGCACCGGACAUUACAAACACCAUCACCCCUGUACCCCACCCACCCACACCCUCUCCCCACCUUCUGUUUCUUUGAUUACCUUUGUUUUUACAGAACCCUAAUGGCAGUUUUUAAAACACAUUGUGAUGUGUAAAAAAAAUUAAAGAGAAAACAAUAAGAAAAGUUAUGAAUAAUUCUGUAUUUAAAUCUAUAAUGAGAAUAAUUAUCAUAGUACUCUUUUACCACCAACAUAAAAAACUGCAUGCUGUACAGAGCUGGAAGAAAGGGAAAGUGCUUGGUUUGUGGACAGACUGACAGACUGAAGCCUUGAGAUCCACCGCUGACCUGUUGGGGAUUUUUGAUUUCCAUUUAGGUUUUUUUUUUUUUUUUUUCUCUUUCUUUUUCCAAUUUUCCAAUGAAUAUUUUUUAAUUAUUAUUUAUAUAAAAUAUGUCCCAAACAGGCUAUUUUGUUGGAUGAUCCUUUCUGUUUCAUUUUGAGUUGAGCAUAUUUUUAUUAUGCGAUACACCCCAGUGGUUUAUGUCCUGUUUCUUUUUUUUUUGUUUGUUUUUUUUUAGUGUUUAUUAUCAUUUCACCUGUCCUAUACAAGGUUAUACUUUUAUAGGAAUACAGCACUCGUUUUCUCUUUUGUCUGCAACUUGUUUGUAGUCAGAUGCUAGAAUAUCAAGAGCCGUUGCCGCUUAGCUGCAGGCAGUGUGCUGUCACAAUCACCUAGAUGCCUGUUUUCCAGUUAUGAUGCUCUUUGUUGCGCUGAUCACAUCAGCCCUGCCCCUCCUUUCCCCUUCUUGCGCAGCCAGGCCCAUCGUGAGCCCCUCUCUGGGAAUAGAUCAGAGAGCAGGUGAGUCACAACUCUGAGGGAGGGAGAGAGCAGCGCUUCCCACGUCAGCAAGGUCGACAGAGAGAUUCUCCUUUCAACAAGAGGAAGGAUGAAGAGAUGUGUCGCGUUAACAGGCUGCAGGAUGUUUCAGCGCUAUGAUUAGUAUGUCAGGACACCUUUUGCUUUCUGUUCUCUUGGUAAUGAUUCUGCUGUUAUGACAGUUUCACACAGUACAGCGUCUUACAUGAAUCACAUACAGAAGCAUAAAAUGACAGUUUGGGGAGUCACUUUUUUUGUUUUUAAUUCAGAAAAAUGUCUAGUCCAAAAUGAAUAUGUGCCUCAGUUGGUCCCACAAGGUCUAGCCUUUGUGAAGUCGGCAAGACAUUUGAAUUUUCUGAACUACUCUUUUUACAAUAAAGCAGAUGGUUCACCAUGA